rnacentral:rRNA from 1 species
UACGUAGGGGGCAAGCGUUGUCCGGAUUUAUUGGGCGUAAAGAGCGUGUAGGCGGUUUGGUAGGUCCGCUGUGAAAACUCGAGGCUCAACCUCGAGACGCCGGUGGAAACCAUCAGACUAGAGUCCGGAGGAGGAGAGUGGAAUUCCUGGUGUAGCGGUGAAAUGCGCAGAUAUCAGGAAGAACACCCGUGGCUAAGGCGGCUCUCUAGUACGGUACUGACGCUGAGACGCGAAAGCGUGGGGAGCGAACAGG